UACGAAGGGGGCGAGCGUUGUUCGGAAUUACUGGGCGUAAAGGGCGCGUAGGCGGCGAUCCUAGUCAGAUGUGAAAGUCCUGGGCUUAACCUGGGGACUGCAUUUGAUACUGGAUUGCUUGAAUUCGGGAGAGGAUAGCGGAAUUCCCAGUGUAGAGGUGAAAUUCGUAGAUAUUGGGAAGAACACCGGUGGCGAAGGCGGCAUCCUGGACCAAUUCUGACGGCUGAGG
rnacentral:rRNA from 1 species